CUCGUAGGCGGUUUUAAAAGUCAGAUGUUAAAUUAUCAGGCUCAACCUGAUACUGUCAUCUGAAACUUUAAGACUUGAGGUUAGAAGAGGAAAGUGGAAUUCCCGGUGUAGCGUUGAAAUGCGUAGAUAUCGGGAGGAACACCAGUGGCGAAGGCAGCUUUCUGGUCUAACCCUGACGCUGAGGAGCGAAAGCUAGGGGAGCGAACAGGAUUAGAUACCCUGGUAGUCC
rnacentral:rRNA from 1 species